CAGAAGAUACUUUGCAUUUCAGCUCAUGCCUCAGUGCUCUGGGAGGGUUUAUAUUCCAAGAGGUUUAACACUUCAUGACUGACAGCUGCCCUUCAUCACAACAGACUCCAAACAAACAUGACUUUGAUCAGCCUCAGUAUCUUGCUCUUCAUCCUCACUCACGAAUCCAGAGGACAAGUGACUGUGACUCAGACUCCAGAGCUGAUAUCAGUUUCUUCAGGACAGACAGUCACUAUAAACUGUAAAAUCAGCAGCUCUGUGUAUACUGAUAGUAAUGGCCCCCGCAUGGCCUGGUACCAGCAGAAACCUGGAGAAGCUCCUAAACUCCUAAUAUAUCUAGCAAGUACCCGUAGCUCUGGGAUUCCAUCUCGAUUCAGUGGCAGCGGAUCUAGUUCUGACUUCACUCUGACCAUCAAUGGAGUCCAGGCUGAAGACGCAGGAGAUUAUUACUGUCAGAGUGAACACUAUAUCAGUAGUAAAGCUGUGUUCACACAGUGAUACAGAGCCAUACAAAAACCUCCCUCAGUCUGACUGCACAGUGACUGCACUGCUAC